GGAGAGGAACUUAAGACUUAAGAGUGAAAACCGUAUGAUGAUAAGACUCAGCUUCAACCCCACCCCCCACAAACCGGACACUGGGAACAUAUGGGUUAUCUACUUAUCUCAGGUAUCCGAGAGGACUACUACCUCAUUCAUAGGAUUGGUAUAAAAUGCCCUAUGAAUUAACAACCUUUAGCAUCAAUACUUCUAAUUUUUAUGCAAAAAAGAAACAUAAACCUAUUGAAUUCCCUCCCCUCAAUUAUCAUACA
rnacentral:lncRNA from 1 species